GACGAACCGUACGAACGUUAUUCGGAAUCACUGGGCUUAAAGGGUGCGUAGGUGGCGGGGCAAGUUUGGUGUGAAAUCCCGGGGCUCAACCUCGGAACUGCACUGAAUACUGCCUUGCUAGAGCACUGGAGAGGGAACUGGAAUUUACGGUGUAGCAGUGAAAUGCGUAGAUAUCGUAAGGAAGACCAGUGGCGAAGGCGAGUUCCUGGACAGUUGCUGACACUGAGGCAC
rnacentral:rRNA from 1 species